rnacentral:rRNA from 1 species
GACGUGACUUCAGAGUUUGAUCCUGGCUCAGGAUGAACGCUGGCGGCGUGCCUAACACAUUCAAGUCGAACGGACUUAAAUUGGAAGCUUGCUUUGGUUUAAGUUAGUGGCGGACGGGUGAGUAACGCGUGAGCAACCUGCCUGUGUGAGUGGAAUAACAGCCGGAAACGACUGCUAAUACCGCAUAAUGCAUUCUGAUCGCAUGUUUGGAAUGCCAAAGAUUUAUCGCACACAGAUGGGCUCGCGUUGGAUUAGAUAGUUGGUGAGGUAACGGCUCACCAAGUCUGCGAUCCAUAGCCGGACUGAGAGGUUGAACGGCCACAUUGGAACUGAGAAACGGUCCAG